GGAAAAUCAGAUCCACCUGCCCGCGGGGUGCGGGGGAGCUCGGUUUCAGCAAACGCUGCAGCAGAGGAAAAUCAGAUCCACCUGCCCGCGGGGUGCGGGGGAGCUCGGUUUCAGCAAACGCUGCAGCGGAGGAAAAUCAGAUCCACCUGCCCGCGGGGUGCGGGGGAGCUCUGUUUUAUGCCUUGAAAUGCAUCUGCGGCAUCCCAUUGUAAAACUGCCCGUGAACGCGGGCUCGCUCGCGUCAGGCGCUCGCUCCUUUAAACAGGAAGGUGCUCUAAGACAUCGCUGAGAGAAUUAAAAGUAACUACAUAGCAGGAACAGCACGAUCUCGUUUGAAGAUUUUAUUUAGAAACGCCAAAAAAGGAGAGUGGCCAAGAUGCCCGGCUGCUCACCAGCCCACAGGAUGGCUGUAUUCCCAGCAUUCCUUGCAGCGAGUGACUUGUGACCGGCCCAGCAUUCCUUGCAGUGAAUGACAUGUGACUAGGCUCCAGCCAAUGGGGUGCAAGCAGGCCGUAAUACCAGCUGCGUGGUCCCCCAGGCCGGUCCCCUCUCUGAGGGUACUAUCUGUGCCCAGGCACCUCGACACCUCCAUCCCGCCUGGCACCGCCUCCAGCAGCCUGAGCCCCAGAACCUCAGGGACAGCAGAGUCUUGGACCUUGCCUCCGUCCCCUCUGCCAGCCAGGACCACCCAUGCUUAGGGAGUGGAAAUAGACUUGCUGUGCCCAGCCAUGCUCAGAGAGGACGUCAAAACACACACGGACAAAUCAAGGAGGAAAUCAGCCGAGAGGGAUACGUGCCAGCUCUGUUGACCCCAGUAUUUGCCAGGAGAGCCCGGAGGCCCUUAGACCCUCCUCCUUUGGGAGAGUCACCGCCCAGUGGGCAUGCAGUCACAGGGAGCAGGGAGCCCAGCCAUGCUCCCCUGAAGACCCUGAGGACCAGGCCCCCCAAGGGCACCCCUGGGGUAGGUGGAAGGAGCAGAGGUGCUAAGAGCAGGAUGUGCUGACGCCACCGCCUUCUGCAGGGAAUCAGGGGCCGAGGCCCUUUGGUUGGAAGCUGCACUUGGUAGCAGCCCAGCCCUAAAAUAGCAGCAAGUUGAGUCGGGAGCCAUGUCUCCCCUUCCCCUGAAGGUCUCCUGCACGCGAUCGCCCCUGCUCCCCGGCCCCGCCCUUGGUGGGGUCACCGAAUUCUGAACUUGGGGAGAACUGUGGGGCCAGGCUUGGGGUCUGGGUCUUCGUGCAGCAGAACCAAGCCGGGGGCAGAGCCAGGGGUUGGAGUCAGGAUGACUUUGAGGACCUGAACUUGGAGCGGUCACAGGAGUCUUGAGGGGAGCUGGGAUCUUCCCGGGCAUGGAUGGGGCUCCUGUCCAGUCUCAGGAAACCUACUGCAGCCAGGACAAGUGUGGCAGGCAGACGGAAGUGUCCUCCCAGAGGUCAGACCAUCAGAGACCAGGUAGAGACCUGGCCAGCUCCAAAUGUGAUCCCGUCCCAGAGACAGCACAGAGUGAGGGCAGGUGUGUGUUCGAGGAGGGGACAGGCUGGUGAGGCUGGCCAAGUCACCAGAAUGGCUUUCUUCCAACCUUCGUUCUGCAAUGAGCAUAUCCGAGGAAGAUUCAGGUCCACAGUGUCCCAGCCAGUCCCCCUCCCAGGUAUUAGGCCAGCGUGAAGCUGGCUACCGGCAUCACCAACAUCAACCAUUCGCAUCUGCCGGAGUUAAUGGGUGUGUGAUGUUUGGAUGGCUGGAUUCGGCGACUUUUCCCACAUCACCUGCAAGGCCGCAGUCGGCCUGGGAGCUGGCUCCUGACCCCGUCCCCUCUGCACAGCAAGUCCCAGGCGGGUUUCAUCCACCCUCGCUAGAUGGUGACGGAUCAAACGUCAGGAUCUGGUUACACAGCCAGUUACCAUCGUCGCAGCCACGCAUCAGGCCCAGGCUAGAUGCCUGCCAAUGAGAGCAGAGGGGCAAAGGCACCAAGAAACACAGGGAGACAGAUGAAAAUGCAGGAGGGAAGAGAAAAAGCAAGAAGGAAAGAGAGGAGGUUGCUCUUCUUGGGAUGCAGAUCUCAAUUCUAAGGAAUUUCAAAUAUCAAAUUAACACUGCAUUUCUUUAUUUGGGAAAAUUACUAACAAUGGCCUUGCUCUCAAAUAAAUUUACACUGAAAUGGCAUGUCUAUGCAAGAACUGAGGGCUGGCCAGGGAUUCGUGGGACAGGGAAAAGCCAGCUGGCGUCCACUGCAGAAUCUAUUGCUUCUUUGUUGGUGAAAAAAGCCGCACAUUUGCUCACAGAAGUCGUCUGUCGGUGUUGUUGCUGUUGGGAGGUGUAAGAGCAGAGGAGAAACACAGGUGGGGUGUUUUCGAAAGACAUCAUCAAUGCCCUCAGCACACCACAGGAAAUGACGAAUGUCCUUGCCCUUGAACUUUGUCUCAAGCGCCGGAGCCUUCUGGGGACAUUCUUGAGCAGCACGUCACUUUUGCUUCCCUGACAGGCAGAGGCUGUCUCUGGGGGAAGUUCUCUGGGAGGCGGGGCAGCCUGUGGGGUCUAUUCGGGGGUGCAAGUGUGAGUGUGUGAAGAGAUUUAUGAUCAGACAUUGGCUCCCCCCCAGGGGCAGAGAGUGCAGAGCUGGGAGGGGCACUUCUGCCAUGGAAGCCUCUCUUUUUCCCCGAGGGGGCAGGAGGCAGAAGUGAGGAGAGCUGGAGAGUGGGAGAAGAGUCCCCUGCAGACACGCACCGCCCAUGGCCAGCUGUGUAGACAGCUCUGUACUGGAGCGGAGGCUCUCACCACUGGUCUUUGGUGGGGACAGGGUCUGCCAAAUGCUACCCAAAGGGCCUCUGGAGAAACCCUGUGAGGUGAUCAUGUUCUGAGAACCCCAGAACGUCACAGAAGCCUCUGCUCCUCCCGACCUCCCGCCGGGCUGCCCCUGAAGGCGGAGCCGCUCCACCGAGUGCCCGAGCGCCUCCUCUUUCCCGUGUCUUCUCGGGGAGGGUGUGACUCCGGCACAAGCCGGAGGAGUCCUGGUGGAACUGACCGGAUUUGGUUUUUGAAAAUGUGUAGGUGGAGAAUCCAAUGCGCCCCCUCGGGUUUUCAAAACGUGGGCAUCUUGAGUGCGGGAAAGGAAGUGCCUGCCGCUCCCCAGGGCACCCGGUGGCAUCUGCAGAGGGGGGGCAGCCGCAGCAGGCCUGCUGUGGUGACAGCAAAUAGCCAGGCGGCCAGGGAGGCUCCUGCGGUGACAGCCCUGGGUCACAGGGUCAGAAGCAGCCCACUGGGGCCGGGAUGUCUUGCGUCAGUUUGGGAACAUUUUCAGCCAUUACCACUUUAAAUACUGAUUUUGCCUAUUCUUUCUCUUCUUCCCAGAACUCCAGUUACUCACGUGUGGUGUCUUCUCAUUGUGUCUGCUGUCUCUUCCCAUCUCACUGGGGCAGUAGGGCUGCCAUAAGCCAGCACCACAGACCAGCGGCUUCACAACCCUGGCGGCUGCAAGUUCAAGAUCAACACAGGGACAGGGUUAGUCUAGUGAGGCCUCUCUUCCUGGCUUGUGGAGGGCUGCCUGCUCCCUGUGUGCACAAGGCCUUUUCUCUGUGCACACGCAUGUGCACACACACGAGCACACGCACACGCACGCACACACACACGUGCACACACACGCACACAUGCACAUACACGCACACAAUCUGGUGUCUCUUCCUCUUCUCAUAAGGACUCCAGUCCUAUCGGAUCAGGGCCCCACCCUGCUGGCUGCACUUCACCUUAAUUACCUCCCUAAUGUCUUCUCUCCAGACAGACUCACCUUGGUGGGUGGGGCUUUGUGAGGGUUUGAAUGUCCGUGUUCCCCGAAAUUCAUCUGUUGAAAUCCUCAUCCCCAAGGCAAUGGUGUUAGGAGAUGGGGCCUGUGGUAGGGAUGGGGUCCUGAAGGUGGACUGCUGAUCAUGGGAUCGGUGUCCUCAUAAAAGAGGCCCCAGAGCGCCCCUCCCCCAUCCCCCAUGUGAGGACGCAGUGACAUACCAGGGAAGCCGGUCCUUGUCCUCACCACACACGGAAUCUGCCGGUACCUUGAUCUGAGACUCCCCAGCCUUCAAAGCUGUGAGAAAUGCAUUGUUGUUUCUGAGCCCCCAGUCUAUGGCAUUUUGUUAUGGCAGCCAGAACUAAGCCAGGCUUCCGCAUGUGCAUUCUGGGAGGACGCGGUUCAGUCCCUCACACUUGCUCUCUCUAUUUUCCUCCUUAUGCUUCUGUCCUUCAUUCUGAGAAUCUUCUUCUGACCUACUUUCUAGUUAUUCAUUAUUGUUCAGUGAUAUCUAAACUAUUUUUAAACCCACUUACUGAGUUCUGAAACAUCGCUUGUAUUUCUCCCAGGCAAUCAUUUUUGUAUUGCAUUUACAAAUAGGCAUG
rnacentral:lncRNA from 1 species